rnacentral:rRNA from 1 species
UUAAAUGGCCGCGGUAUUUUGACCGUGCUAAGGUAGCAUAAUCAUUAGUUUUUUAAUUGAAAGCUGGAAUGAAAGGUUGGAUGAAAAAGGAGCUGUCUCUAUUAAAAGAAUAGAAUUUUAUUUUUAAGUUAAAAAGCUUAAAUAAUUUUAAAAGACGAGAAGACCCUAUAGAGUUUAAUAGAAAUAUAUUAUUUAUAUAGUUAGAAUUUUUUUAUAUAAAUAGUUAAUUUAUUUAAUUGGGGUGAUUAAAAAAUUUGUUUAACUUUUUUUAUAUAUAUAUAUAUAUUUAAAUAAAUACUUGAUCCAUUUUUAUUGAUUAUAAGAUUAAAUUACCUUAGGGAUAACAGCGUAAUUUUAUUGGAGAGUU